CAGGGACCUGGAGGAGUAGAGAAGUCAGUUGCAGCACCACCUGCCGCCACUGCUCAACCAGCUGGUGGUUCGAAGAAGUCCAAGAAGUAAGGAGGUGAUCUAGCGAAGAAGUGUGAGCCAUGAAUUUAGAGAGAAACAUGUUCAAGUAGUUUUUUUGUCGAGCCAGCAGUCUGCUGUUUGUGGCCAAUAUGAACUUGUUUAAGUUUUUAAGGUUUCAUGAUUUUGUUCUCAGUUUCCAUGCUGUUUUGUUUA